GUAGCGGCGAGCGAACGCGGAUUAGCCCAAACCAAUAAAGUUUUCUUUAUUGGGGUUGCGGACAUAUCAUAACGAAGAGGUAUCGUAAUUGAAGAGGUUUGGAAAGACCCACCACAGAAGGUAAUAGUCCUGUAUGUUAAACGAGAAGACUUUAGAUAUGAUCCAGAGUACCACGGGACACGUGAAACCCUGUGGGAAGCAGGAGGGACCACCCUCCAAGGCUAAAUACUACCUAGUGACCGAUAGCGUAUAGUACCGUGAGGGAAAGGUGAAAAGAACCCCGGGAGGGGAGUGAAAUAGAACCUGAAACCCUGCACUUACAAGCUGUGGAAGCACAUUUCUUGUGUGACCGCGUACUUUUUGUAGAACGGGCCAACGAGUUACGUUAAGUAGCAAGGUUAAGCACUUAAGGUGCGGAGCCGUAGCGAAAGCGAGUUUUAACUGAGCGUUCAGUUACUUGACGUAGACCCGAAACCGGGCGACCUACCCAUGAGCAGGAUGAAGCGAAAGUAAAAUUUCGUGGAGGUCCGAACCCACGAGCGUUGAAAAGCUCGGGGAUGACUUGUGGGGAGCGGUGAAAUUCCAAUCGAGCCCGGAGAUAGCUGGUUCUCCCCGAAAUAGCUUUAGGGCUAGCCUCAAGGUGAGAGAUACGGAGGUAGAGCACUGAAUGUCCUAGGGGGUAUUGCACCUACCGAAG
rnacentral:rRNA from 1 species